UACGUAGGGUCCGAGCGUUGUCCGGAAUUAUUGGGCGUAAAGAGCUCGUAGGCGGUUUGUCGCGUCUGCUGUGAAAUCCCGAGGCUCAGCCUCGGGCCUGCAGUGGGUACGGGCAGACUGGAGUGCGGUAGGGGAGAAUGGAAUUCCUGGUGUAGCGGUGGAAUGCGCAGAUAUCAGGAGGAACACCGAUGGCGAAGGCAGUUCUCUGGGCCGUAACUGACGCUGAGGAGCGAAAGCGUGGGGAGCGAACAGG
rnacentral:rRNA from 1 species